UCCUGGCUCAGAGCGAACGUUUGCGGCGGGCCUAACACAUGCAAGUCGAACGGGCUGUCCUUCGGGGCAGUCAGUGGCGCACGGGUGCGUAACACGUAGGUAAUCAACCCUUGGGUUCGGGAUAACACUGCGAAAGAGGUGCUAAUACCGGAUGCGACGGUCGGGACUUCGGUGCCGAUCGGGAAAGAUCCGCAAGGAUUGCCCGAGGACGAGCCUGCGGCCCAUCAGCUUGUUGGUGAGGUAAAAGCUCACCAAGGCUAAGACGGGUAGCUGGUCUGAGAGGAUGAUCAGCCACACUGGAACUGAGACACGGUCCAGACUCCUACGGGAGGCAGCAGUGGGGAAUAUUGCGCAAUGGACGAAAGUCUGACGCAGCCACGCCGCGUGAGCGAUGAAGGCCCUCGGGUCGUAAAGCUCUGUGGGGAGAGAAGAAUAAAGCCGGUGAAGAGCCGGCCCUGACGGUAUCUCCUUAGCAAGCACCGGCUAACUCCGUG
rnacentral:rRNA from 1 species